UUAAGUCCCGCAACGAGCGCAACCCCUACGUUUAGUUGCUAACAGGUGAAGCUGAGCACUCUAGACGAACUGCCGUUGACAAAACGGAGGAAGGUGGGGAUGACGUCAAAUCAUCAUGCCCCUUAUGUUCUGGGCUACACACGUGCUACAAUGGCCGGUACAGACGGAGGCGAAGCCGCGAGGCGGAGCAAAUCCGAAAAAGCCGGUCUCAGUUCGGAUUGCAGGCUGCAAUUCGCCUGCAUGAAGUCGGAAUCGCUAGUAAUCGCAGGUCAGCAUACUGCGGUGAAUACGUUCCCGGGCCUU
rnacentral:rRNA from 1 species